UGGCGGACGGGCGAGUAACGCGUGGAAAACCUGCCGUAUACUGGGGGAUAACACUUAGAAAUAGGUGCUAAUACCGCAUAAGCGCACAGCUUCGCAUGAAGCGGUGUGAAAAACUCUGGUGGUAUACGAUGGUUCCGCGUCUGAUUAGCUAGUUGGUGGGGUAAUGGCCUACCAAGGCAACGAUCAGUAGCCGGCCUGAGAGGGUGAACGGCCACAUUGGGACUGAGACACGGCCCAAACUCCUACGGAAGGCAGCAG
rnacentral:rRNA from 1 species